GUCCACAGCCAUACCACCCUUAACAUGCCCCAUCUCCUCUGAUCUCAGAAGCUAAACAGGGUCGGGCCUGGUUAGUAUUUGCAUGGGAGAAAAACAAUGAAUGAUACAAGAUAGCACU
rnacentral:rRNA from 1 species